rnacentral:tRNA from 2 species
GGGCCUAUAGCUCAGUUGGAUAGAGCGACGGUUUCCUAAACCGUAGGUCACAGGUUCAAAUCCUGUUAGGCCCA